CCUGUAUCAAAGUUUCCAGUGAAGUGUGAGUUCCAUAUUGUGUACUUGGGCAUGAGGAUGACGUUGUGCCUUUUGUGACCUCAUUGAUACUAAUGGUGCUGUUUUUAUUCUGCAUGCUUCUAGUGUAAAUGUGUGAAUGGAAUUUUGGAGCUAUGAGAGUCACUGAAGUAAAUUAUUUUUAGGCAUUCCGACUGUCUGCUUCUGGAUUGAGUGCUUGGAGGACGUGUGAAACAUCUGCCAAUGCAGUUGUACUGCCAGAGCUCUCCUGCCAGGAUUGCCAGAGACUUGGCACCUCUGUGUGAUGAAAUCCAAAUACUGGCUGUGGUUACGGAA
rnacentral:lncRNA from 1 species